GUCUGAGUGAUGGAACCCUAGCUACGGCUGUUGUCACGAGUGGCGCCUUGACAGUUAUGGUGUUAUACCUGUACCAGAGGUGACAGAUUGACAGCCUCUAACUAGCAAUGAUAGAUACCUGGUGGCUGCAAUUGAUGGGGUCUCCGAGAAAAUGACUGUGCAGGAUAUCUGUGAUCUAAUAUGGGAUGCACGCAUUCAAGACUGAAAAAUCAGAAUCCGUUUCUGCCAACACAAAAUUGUUGGCUGUGUGGAAGGCUAUGUGGCAGUUCAUGUGCAUUUGUAGUUUGUUUUGAAAACUUUAAAUAGACCAUUAAUUGUUUUGUUGGUAUUGUGCUGA